GCGACAGCUAUCAUUACAUGACAUGUAGUCAAAUCGCCAACGUGUAUAUGACUCCUAUGCGACUAUAUAGGUAUUUAUAUGACUGUUACACGAAACUCUUAGCGCCUUAAGUUGAAUAAAAUGGGCCCUAAUGCCGUCGAGUAAACGUUCUAAUGUCGUUUAUACGAUUAUACUAAAUAACAUUAAGUUGUCACCAAAACGUCUACUCAACGUCAUAAAUGUUUGUUGGGUUGUUAUCAAAUCGAAUUACUUACUAUAAACAACGUA